UCUAUUUGAAGAUAUAAGAAGUCUGGCCUGCUCACUGAUUUAAAUGAUUUAAGAGCCGCGGUAUUAUGACCGUGCAAAGGUAGCAUAAUCAUUAGGUUUUUAAAUGGAAUCUUGUAUGAAUGGUUGGACAAAGGAAAAGCUGUCUUUAUAUAAAAAUUUGAAUUUUACUUUUAAGUGAAAAGGCUUAAAUGGCUUAGGGGGACGAUAAGACCCUAUAAAACUUUACAUUAUAAUUAUAUUUAGUUGAAUUUAAUGAUAAAAAUUUAAUAUAAUAAUUUGUUUUGUUGGGGAGACAAAGAUAAAAGUUAUAUUAACUACUUAGAAAAUAAACAUAAAUUGAUGGUAAAAGUUAAUAGAUCCUAAAUAAAGAUUUAAAGAUUAAGUUACUUUAGGGAUAACAGUGCAAUUUUUUUUAAGAGCCCAUAUCGAAAAAAAAGUUUACAACCUCGAUGUUGAAUUAAAAUGUCUAUAUAAUGUAGCUGUUAUAGAAGAAGGUCUGUUCGACCUUU
rnacentral:rRNA from 1 species